rnacentral:lncRNA from 1 species
UAUUUUAGAUUCUACAGAUAUAUCACAUUUACUACUCUGUUUAUCAUGCAUAUUAAUUAAUCCUAGUCGUUGUAAUUUCAUAACAUAGGAAGAAUUCAGAUGUCCUAAUCUAGCAUGCCACAAAUCAUACGAGUCAACAAUAUAAGCAUAAGAAGACGAUUCAUUAAUAUUUCCAGAAAUGUUAAGUACAAAGAGACCUUGAUCACAAUAUCCCUUCCCCACAAAAACAUUAUUUUUUGUCAUAAUGAUCUUGUCAGACUCAAAUGACACUUUAACCCCCAC